rnacentral:rRNA from 1 species
UUAAGCGACUAAGCGUACACGGUGGAUGCCCUGGCAGUCAGAGGCGAUGAAGGACGUGCUAAUCUGCGAAAAGCGUCGGUAAGGUGAUAUGAACCGUUACAGCCGGCGAUGUCCGAAUGGGGAAACCCAGUGCAAUUCGUUGCACUAUCGUUAACUGAAUACAUAGGUUAACGAGGCGAACCGGGGGAACUGAAACAUCUAAGUACCCCGAGGAAAAGAAAUCAACCGAGAUUCCCCCAGUAGCGGCGAGCGAACGGGGAGCAGCCCAGAGUCUGAAUCAGCUUGUGUGUUAGUGGAACGGUCUGGAAAGUCCGACGGUACAGGGUGAUAGUCCCGUACACCAAAAUGCACAGGUUGUGAACUCGAAGAGUAGGGCGGGACACGUGGUAUCCUGUCUGAAUAUGGGGGGACCAUCCUCCAAGGCUAAAUACUCCUGACUGACCGAUAGUGAACCAGUACCGUGAGGGAAAGGCGAAAAGAACCCCGGCGAGGGGAGUGAAAAAGAACCUGAAACCGUGUACGUACAAGCAGUGGGAGCACCUUCGGGUGUGACUGCGUACCUUUUGUAUAAUGGGUCAGCGACUUAUAUUCUGUAGCAAGGUUAACCGUAUAGGGGAGCCGCAGGGAAACCGAGUCUUAACUGGGCGUUAAGUUGCAGGGUAUAGACCCGAAACCCGGUGAUCUAGCCAUGGGCAGGUUGAAGGUUGGGUAACACUAACUGGAGGACCGAACCGACUAAUGUUGAAAAAUUAGCGGAUGACUUGUGGCUGGGGGUGAAAGGCCAAUCAAACCGGGAGAUAGCUGGUUCUCCCCGAAAGCUAUUUAGGUAGCGCCUCGUGAACUCAUCUUCGGGGGUAGAGCACUGUUUCGGCUAGGGGGUCAUCCCGACUUACCAACCCGAUGCAAACUACGAAUACCGAAGAAUGUUAUCACGGGAGACACACGGCGGGUGCUAACGUCCGUCGUGAAGAGGGAAACAACCCAGACCGCCAGCUAAGGUCCCAAAGUCAUGGUUAAGUGGGAAACGAUGUGGGAAGGCACAGACAGCCAGGAUGUUGGCUUAGAAGCAGCCAUCAUUUAAAGAAAGCGUAAUAGCUCACUGGUCGAGUCGGCCUGCGCGGAAGAUGUAACGGGGCUAAACCAUGCACCGAAGCUGCGGCAGCGACACUAUGUGUUGUUGGGUAGGGGAGCGUUCUGUAAGCCUGCGAAGGUGACCUGUGAGGGUUGCUGGAGGUAUCAGAAGUGCGAAUGCUGACAUAAGUAACGAUAAAGCGGGUGAAAAGCCCGCUCGCCGGAAGACCAAGGGUUCCUGUCCAACGUUAAUCGGGGCAGGGUGAGUCGACCCCUAAGGCGAGGCCGAAAGGCGUAGUCGAUGGGAAACAGGUUAAUAUUCCUGUACUUGGUGUUACUGCGAAGGGGGGACGGAGAAGGCUAUGUUAGCCGGGCGACGGUUGUCCCGGUUUAAGCAUGUAGGCUGGUUAUCCAGGCAAAUCCGGAUAAUCAAGGCUGAGGUGUGAUGACGAGGCACUACGGUGCUGAAGUAACAAAUGCCCUGCUUCCAGGAAAAGCCUCUAAGCAUCAGGUAACAUCAAAUCGUACCCCAAACCGACACAGGUGGUCAGGUAGAGAAUACCAAGGCGCUUGAGAGAACUCGGGUGAAGGAACUAGGCAAAAUGGUGCCGUAACUUCGGGAGAAGGCACGCUGGUGUGUAGGUGAAGUCCCUGCGGAUGGAGCUGAGACCAGUCGAAGAUACCAGCUGGCUGCAACUGUUUAUUAAAAACACAGCACUGUGCAAACACGAAAGUGGACGUAUACGGUGUGACGCCUGCCCGGUGCCGGAAGGUUAAUUGAUGGGGUUAUCCGUAAGGAGAAGCUCUUGAUCGAAGCCCCGGUAAACGGCGGCCGUAACUAUAACGGUCCUAAGGUAGCGAAAUUCCUUGUCGGGUAAGUUCCGACCUGCACGAAUGGCGUAAUGAUGGCCAGGCUGUCUCCACCCGAGACUCAGUGAAAUUGAACUCGCUGUGAAGAUGCAGUGUACCCGCGGCAAGACGGAAAGACCCCGUGAACCUUUACUAUAGCUUGACACUGAACAUUGAGCCUUGAUGUGUAGGAUAGGUGGGAGGCUUUGAAGCGUGGACGCCAGUCUGCGUGGAGCCAACCUUGAAAUACCACCCUUUAAUGUUUGAUGUUCUAACGUUGGCCCCUGACCGGGGUUGCGGACAGUGUCUGGUGGGUAGUUUGACUGGGGCGGUCUCCUCCCAAAGCGUAACGGAGGAGCACGAAGGUUAGCUAAUCCUGGUCGGACAUCAGGAGGUUAGUGCAAUGGCAUAAGCUAGCUUGACUGCGAGCGUGACGGCGCGAGCAGGUGCGAAAGCAGGUCAUAGUGAUCCGGUGGUUCUGAAUGGAAGGGCCAUCGCUCAACGGAUAAAAGGUACUCCGGGGAUAACAGGCUGAUACCGCCCAAGAGUUCAUAUCGACGGCGGUGUUUGGCACCUCGAUGUCGGCUCAUCACAUCCUGGGGCUGAAGUAGGUCCCAAGGGUAUGGCUGUUCGCCAUUUAAAGUGGUACGCGAGCUGGGUUUAGAACGUCGUGAGACAGUUCGGUCCCUAUCUGCCGUGGGCGCUGGAGAAUUGAGGGGGGCUGCUCCUAGUACGAGAGGACCGGAGUGGACGCAUCACUGGUGUUCGGGUUGUCAUGCCAAUGGCACUGCCCGGUAGCUAAAUGCGGAAGAGAUAAGUGCUGAAAGCAUCUAAGCACGAAACUUGCCCCGAGAUGAGUUCUCCCUGAGACUAUAAGUCUCCUGAAGGAACGUUAAAGACGAUGACGUUGAUAGGCCGGGUGUGUAAGCGCAGCGAUGCGUUGAGCUAACCGGUACUAAUGAACCGUGAGGCUUAACCUU